CCUACGGGAGGCAGCAGUGGGGGAUAUUGCACAAUGGGGGAAACCCUGAUGCAGCGACGCCGCGUGUGGGAAGACGGUCCUCUGGAUUGUAAACCACUGUCCCCAGGGACGAAGAUGACGGUACCUUGGGAGGAAGCUCCGGCUAACUACGUGCCAGCAGCCGCGGUAAUACGUAGGGAGCGAGCGUUGUCCGGAAUUACUGGGUGUAAAGGGAGCGUAGGCGGGACUGCAAGUUGGGUGUCAAAUCUACCGGCUCAACCGGUAGCCGCACUCAAAACUGCAGUUCUUGAGUGAAGUAGAGGCAGGCGGAAUUCCUAGUGUAGCGGUGAAAUGCGUAGAUAGUAGGAGGAACACCAGUGGCGAAGGCGACCUGCUGGGCUUUUACUGACGCUGAGGCUCGAAAGUGUGGGGAGCAAACAGGAUUAGAUACCCCUGUAGUC
rnacentral:rRNA from 1 species